CGGGCAGCAGUUCCAGAGCAGGGUCUGCUGGCAGGUUGUAGUAUCAAAUUAUUUCUUUUCUCACAUCAGACUUAAGGAGCAGUACUCUUCCCCAGCUCUACCUGAGCCAGCAGUCAUAGCAAUCCUUGUCUCUGUUGUGAUCGUGGUGGCUGUUGUAGCUGCCAUCACACAUACCUGUCAGAGGAGGAAAAUGAGAAGUCUUGUGCCAUCGAUGCAGGAGUCCGAGCAUGAACAGGCUUUGAGGUUCAUCGAGGAGAAAGAGGAUCAAACAACUGUUCCUGUGCAAGAAGCUGGUGCUGACCCUGAAGAAACCAAGCCUGAAUCAGAGAGUCUUGUUUGAUCCAUGGCAGAAAAUGGGGAUGGUUAAAAACAACCAAGCACAAAACAUUUUUUCUACAUAUGCAUGAGUGACUGUCAUCUUUCCUUCCCCCAUGGACAGCUGACACUUGGUACACAUUGAUUAUUUCUUUAUUGCUUGUUGUUGGGAAAAAGUGGGGAUUUUUCCAUUUUAAUCAUUCCAUAUAACUCAUACGUAACAGAGUGUACAAAUGUAUUUCGAAAAGAUUUUUCAUUUUAAGGAGUCAAGAAGAUAUUGCUGAGAAAAGCAAUUGUGCACACCAUGGCGCAUAUAUGUUUUAAUAAAGAAAGUUAAUAUCUGAUCUGACCACUGUGUUUUUGAAUAAAGUUUUUAUUAAUGAGAAUCCUUUCUCUCCAAUACCAACGAAUUUGGACUCGUCAAACCCGUCCCAGGGCAAGAAGAGGUGAGCUCAGACCUUCCUGUCACAUGAGCAGGAGUUGUCCUUUGUCAGAGGAGCGUGGGCCCACCAAGGAGGGUUUGAAUAAUCCUGGCAACAGCUGGGUUUCAUUGCUGCCUGUGCUUUUGGUAACCCAAACAUCUGCUGGGGGGGUCUGAGUGCAACUGGGUCAAGCAGUGGCAGUGCUGGGAGGGCAGGAGGAGCUGUGAGCAGUCCUGGUGGGCUGGGGCGCUUGGUUUUGGGUCAGGUAGUGCCAGUGAGGCCUCCCUGAUGUCUUCCUUCAGCAAUGGGGUGUUUGCUGGUUAGUCCUGUGUGUGUGUGUGAGCAGGAUUUUGUGGAUAGAGACAAAGGUGGCCCCUGAAGUGGGCUUUGAGGGUUUUGUAUGCCAGGAUUUGAGGGUUUGUUCCAUGAUUUGAGGGGCUGGUUUGUUUGCCAGGAUUUGAAGUGUUUGCCGGUUUUGGAGGGGUUUCUUUGCUGCAAUUGAGUAUUUUCCUGCCUUUGGGCCUAGGCCAUGCCAAAGCCUUCCGUGCUGUAGCGGGCCAGGAGAGAGGGAAUGGUGUGACCGUUACGGGCCCCCUCAGAGGACUGGAGCUGCACAUGCCCUCCCCUGCCCUUCCUGCAAGUCAAUUCCUUUCUUUUGGGUGUCAAGUGGGUACAGAACCCGUCCCAUUCCGUCCCACAUGUGGCAGCAGCCGUGGGCCGCAGGGAGGCCUCUGAGAUGGCGGCAGCAGCCUGGGCAGGGCCCCAUCUGUCUGGUCCUCGCCGUGGUGCUGGUCAUGCAGUUGGAGUGUUCGGAUGCCGUGGGCUGUGGGAUGGGCGAGCACC